rnacentral:tRNA from 1 species
AGGGGUGUGGUGUCAAUUGGUAGCACGUCCGGUUGUUACCCGGAAAGUGGGGGUUCGAAUCCCUCCGCCCCUGCCA